AUACGGAGGGGGCUAGCGUUGUUCGGAAUUACUGGGCGUAAAGCGCGCGUAGGCGGCUUGCCAAGUUGGGGGUGAAAUCCCAGGGCUCAACCCUGGAACUGCACCCGAUACUGCCUGGCUGGAGUCCCGGAGAGGAUGGCGGAAUUUCCGGUGUAGAGGUGAAAUUCGUAGAUAUCGGAAGGAACACCAGUGGCGAAGGCGGCCAUCUGGACGGUGACUGACGCUGAGACGCGAAAGCGUGGGGAGCAAACAGGAUUAGAUACCCCAGUAGUCC
rnacentral:rRNA from 1 species